AUCCAACCGAUGAGUGUUAAAUAGGACGAAACGCUCGUCAAACCGGAU
rnacentral:hammerhead_ribozyme from 1 species